GAGUUUGAUCUUGGCUCAGAUUGAACGCUGGCGGCAUGCUUUACACAUGCAAGUCGAGCGGCAGCGCGGGGGCAACCCUGGCGGCGAGCGGCGGACGGGUGAGUAAUGCAUCGGAACGUAUCCCGUAGUGGGGGACAACCCAGCGAAAGCUGGGCUAAUACCGCAUAUGCUCUACGGAGGAAAGUGGGGGACCUGCAAGGGCCUCACGCUAUGGGAGCGGCCGAUGUCCGAUUAGCUAGUUGGUGGGGUAAAGGCCUACCAAGGCGACGAUCGGUAGCUGGUCUGAGAGGAUGAUCAGCCACACUGGGACUGAGACACGGCCCAGACUCCUACGGGAGGCAGCAGUGGGGAAUUUUGGACAAUGGGGGCAACCCUGAUCCAGCCAUGCCGCGUGCGGGAAGAAGGCCUU
rnacentral:rRNA from 1 species